GACGUAGGGCGCGAGCGUUGUCCGGAUUUAUUGGGCGGAAAGAGCUCGUAGGCGGCUUGUCGCGUCGUUCGUGAAAACCUGUGGCUCAACUACAGGCUUGCGGUCGAUACGGGCAGGCUGGAGUUCGGUAGGGGAGACUGGAAUUCCUGGUGUAGCGGUGAAAUGCGCAGAUAUCAGGAAGAACACCUAUGGCGAAGGCAGCUCUCUGGGACGGUACUGACGCUGAGACGCGAAAGCGUGGGGAGCGAACAGG
rnacentral:rRNA from 1 species